rnacentral:lncRNA from 1 species
CACAAACUAAGGAUGGUAGAUAAUAAUUCAUAUAAAUAUUUUAGGACAUUUAAUCUAUUUUAAUAGAAAUAGGAUUUAAAAACUGCAAACAAAUUUAAUCAUUACAUAAUCAGCUGAUAUUUUUUUUACACAAACAUCGUGUUGAUGGAACUGUUGAAAAUCACUUCACAAAUCCAACAGCCCUUUCACACAGUUAGCAAUUGUCAGGGUUAUAAACAUCUCAGGAUACAAAUCAUAUAGUAGACUAAUUUAUUUAUAGAGGUUUUAAAUUCAUGGCUUUUGGUUGUCUCUACAAAGGUUUGACAGAGAAAAAAAAGAUAUACUGUUUUAAGAUCUUUUAAUAUUUUCAUGCAAAUUCGGAUAAAAAAAAAAAAAAAAGAAUUUGCCUACCUACCUACCCACACCCAGUCAUCAUGGGUCGGGUUUGG